ensembl:lncRNA
GCUGUUCCUGCCACUGUGUGUUUAACCUUGUUUGGGGAUCAUGUCCGAAGAGUAAUUGUGAGGCCUGGGCCAGAUGCCCUCCAGGCCGGCGCUGUGCUCGGCCCUGGCGUAGGCAGAUGAUCCAGGGCUGCGAUGCUCUGGGAGCAGGAUCCGCUCUCGGGCAGCGGCCCCUCCCACACAGGCAAUUGGGUUCAGGAGCCAAGAGCUGCCCUCGAUGUCGUGCAGAUGCCGAAUGCCACAGAGACAUAUUGCUGCACGCUGAGGCCGUCUCAAAUUGAACAUUACCACGUUAGUGAACCAGCUGGACUUGACAAGACGCAAGUAAACCCUGACUUUACUGUGCCCCCGCACUCCUUCUUCCUGUGGCAUCGUUCCGUGCGCGCCAUGGCUUCUCAGAUAAUAGAAAAUCCAGUCCAGUUUAAUAAUCAGAUCGCUCCAGGCCAGGGUAAUAUCGAAAUUCUCAAUUCUAUUCCAAGUAAUGCUUCUCCCUCCCAGCUCUGCGUUGCUUCCCUCUCUCAGCCCGUGGAGGAGGGGUGGGCACAGUCGAACUUCUCUUUCUUUGCUCCAUCUUGUCCCAUCUCCUCUUCCACUCAUUACCUGCUGCUUUGGACCCACCUAGGGCCCCGCCCUGUGAGCAGAGAGGAGGCGUGAGGGGCAGCGAAUGUCUAGCUGGCCUGGUUCAGUUAUGGGCUGGAGUCUGCCCUCUGCAUGGGGCAGACGUCCACUGCCGACCAUUCUCCCAAGGGGACCUUCCGCAGAUUCUCGGAGCUCCCCAGCUUCCCCUGCGUCUCCCUUGGAUGUGGAGCGCCUCCUCUCCUUGGCCACAUUCAGCCCCCUCUCAGCCCUGGGCGUCCUUUCCGUGGGAUUCACUGCUCCUCCAGGCUGACCUCCGGGUGAGAUCAUUUAUAAAAUGAUUCCAGGCUCGCUCUUCAGCAAAGGGCCGGCCUUUGGUCCAAGGGAGCCAUGCACCUUUGUCCCACUGUGGCUGGAACAGCAGCUCGUUCCCAACACAGCCUCCUCUCCUGUUUUGCUCCACCAGGCCCAGCGAGCCUCUCACGUUUGAUUUCUCGCAGCACACGUCUGGUGCCAGCCCUUGUGUCUUCUGAACUUCAGGGGCAUGGAGAGCUCUGCCAGCGGCUGUCGGGAAGUGUCUUUAUUGUGCAUCUCAUCGGUGAGCAGGAAGCUCUCCCUCUGCUUCCCACUGGGGUCGGAACACAGCACACCCAUAGCAUUCCAGAACAGUCCCUACAAUCUGCCUCUUCCACAUUCCAGCUCCUUCUAUCUGGCCUAGAGACAUGAUCCUCAGUGCUGUUGCCUGUAAAGAAAGCGCAGUGAUGCCAACCCUCAAGAUUAUUUACAAGGCGAAGAGCCCAUCCACAGGGAAAAUCUCUGCCAGACUGAAGCGCUCCGCCACCUCUGCUCUUGUGCUUAUUUGCCGGACAACCUCACAGGCUGGUGCAACACUCUCCCUCUUUUCAGCCACAGGACGAAAGAGUCACGCUCCCAUACGUGACACCACCUCCAGGGAGAGCAGAGUUUUGAGCGAUGCCUGGUGCACUAGUUAGGACUUCACCUCUUCUCCCCGGUUGAAGGACGCCUGUGAGCUGGACUCAUGGUCCCCCUGGUUGUGGUGCGAACAGAUGGGAUGAGGACGAGAAUGAAGACCAGGUCAGAAACCUUCGCAGUGGUCCAGGCGAGACAUAAGGGCUGCGCGGAGUUGGAGAAAAGCAGAUGCAUGCAAGUCCCAUUCUAGAGAUAGCAGCACAGGGCUCGACGGUGCGCUGCAUGUGGGUGGUGAAGGUGAAGGCACCACGAGCGGCUUCCUGACCACUCUCCACCUGUCAGGACGGCUAAAGUGAAAACGCUAACACCACCACACGCUGCUGAGGAUGUGGAGCAACCGAAUCCCUCGCUUACUGCUGGAGGGAGGGCAGAUGGUGCAGCCGCCCUGACAGAGGGACGGAAGGGAUCUCGAAAAGGGAG